GACGAACGCUGGCGGCGUGCUUAACACAUGCAAGUCGAACGGUGAAGGGGUCUGCUUUUGUGGGCCCUGGAUGAGUGGCGAACGGGUGAGUAACACGUGAGUAACCUGUCCCCUUCUUCUGGAUAACCGCAUGAAAGUGUGGCUAAUACGGGAUAUUCUGGGUCUGUCGCAUGAUGGGUCUGGGAAAGAUUGCGCCUUUGGGUGUUUUUGGUGGGGGAUGGGCUCGCGGCCUAUCAGCUUGUUGGUGGGGUGAUGGCCUACCAAGGCGGUGACGGGUAGCCGGCCUGAGAGGGUGGACGGUCACACUGGGACUGAGACACGGCCCAGACUCCUACGGGAGGCAGCAGUGGGGAAUAUUGCACAAUGGGCGCAAGCCUGAUGCAGCGACGCCGCGUGAGGGAUGGAGGCCUUCGGGUUGUAAACCUCUUUCGCCAGUGAAGCAGGCCUGCUCCUUGUGGGUGGGUUGACGGUAGCUGGAGAAGAAGCGCCGGCUAACUACGUG
rnacentral:rRNA from 1 species